rnacentral:rRNA from 1 species
UACGGAGGGUGCAAGCGUUAUCCGGAUUCACUGGGUUUAAAGGGUGCGUAGGCGGGCAGGUAAGUCAGUGGUGAAAUCUUUGGGCUUAACCCGAAAACUGCCAUUGAUACUAUCUUUCUUGAAUAUUGUGGAGGUUUGCGGAAUAUGUCAUGUAGCGGUGAAAUGCUUAGAUAUGACAUAGAACACCUAUUGCGAAGGCAGCAAACUACGCAUAUAUUGACGCUGAGGCACGAAAGCGUGGGGAUCAAACAGG